rnacentral:lncRNA from 13 species
AUGGGAUGGAUCAAUAUCUCAAUAUUAUCAGCUACUACGUAUCGACAUUUCCAGCACACUAGGCACUGUGCUAAGAACUUCUACGUACAUUUAAUUCCGCUGUGUCCGAAAUACACCAAGCAAAACCCCUGUAAACUCCAAAGAUGCCCCUGGUCACAAGAGCUUUAUCCCAAUACAAUUGGUGGUGCCUCUCAAAGUGAUUUGGCUGUGCUGGUAAUCUCGGCCAGGAGAGGAGAGCUCGAAACUGGAUUUGAUAAAAGGACACAAGAGAACUUUAUGCGACGUUGGCAAAGGCAACAAAUGUAAAACACCCAACUGUGUUUAUUAGUAAGAUGAAUGAUCCAACGGUAAAUUGGAGCAAUGAGAGACAGGAAGACUAUGAAGAGAAACCUGAGCCAUUUUGAAACACGUUGGCUUCAGUCCCCAAAACUGCAUUCACUUUAUGCCUGUUCAGGACUAACUGGAGCACAUUUCAAAGAGCAAUUGGAUUUCUGUACUUAGUGCAUUGGAUGACUGUUUAUAUCUGGGUAGCUUGUCAGACUUCAGUAGAUCAGUUGUUGGACAGAUCGGGCUGCUAAUUCUGGAUAAGUACAAGGAUAUGGGCACUGUUGCCCUGAGAAAGCUGGAGUCAGGGUCUGUAAAGGCCAGCAGCUCGCGAUGAUGCCGAAACACAAGGUCUUGGAACACUUUACAGUGAUGUGGAGGCUGAUACUGCAGUCCCGUGUGAGAAGCUCACACUCAGACCGAAAGGAAUUGAAGAGGAGGAAAUUCUUCCAGGAUUUAUGCUUUAUGAUGCUAAUCUUUGUCAUGCUGGAUGCACAUUUGGUGCUUAGAUAUCACUAUCACUUAGAUAUCACUUAGAUAGUGGAGCACAGACUAAUCAUCUGCCUGUAGCUUAAUUCACUGCUGCGGAUGUAUACCGGUACUGGGGACCUCACAAUAACAGCCUUAACCUGCUUCGUAGACAGAAAGGGAGACGCAGCCCUGUUCUGUGAAGAUCAAGUAUGCCUUGUUCCUUUAAGGAGAGCAGGAGCCACCUGCGUCAAGUCCUUUAAAGACGUCCUCAGAUGCGUCAUUUUACUUUAAGAGAUGAGGGCAAGACUUGUCAUUGGAAAAGUUCUAAAACUGUUUCCAGAGGAAAACUAAGCAUCUUCUCGAUGAUCUUGCAAAAUACUGUGAGGAAAAAUUGACUGUAAAAAGCAAAUAUCAACUUCUCUAAUUUUUAACUCAAUUGUAAACCUCUCCCCAUAUUUGCGAAGAGAAAAUUCACAGCAAAAGUCCACAUUAUGUCGCUUUCUUAAAUUGAGAGCUCUGCUAUGCCACUGUUGAAUUUUUAAGAUAUUUUCCCCCCUUUUCAAGCUCUGCUUCCUUGGAUAGAUUUGAUGAUGGCUUUGUGGGUCAGGUAGGCAUAACUGCCUACAAUAACGAAAACCUACAGCAUUUUUUUUCUCCUUAGGAAUACUUAGUAUUUUCUCCCAGGCAGAUCAUUCUGAGUGUGUGAGGAUGUGUGCAUAUGUUAAGACAACAACCAUAUUAAGUAUUCAAUUUGAAAAAAGAGAAGAUUAGGACAUAAAUAGUUACAGAGGGACGACCUCGUAAGGACAUGGGGAGAAGAUGACUAUCAUUAAGCCAAGGGGAGUAACCUCAGAAAGAAACCGACCAUAUCAUCACUUUGAGCCUACACUUCCAGCCUCCAGAACUGUGAGAAAAGUUUCUGUUGUCAGACACACCCAGUCUGUGGUACUUUGUUAUGGCAGCCCAAAUAAACUAAUAUAUUAUUUGUUAAAAAUAUAUUUU